rnacentral:misc_RNA from 1 species
AUAUUUGCUUCAAUUACAGCCUGUUAUUAGAGAGAUGUCAAUAAGAUGGAAUAAUGUGUAUGAUGAAAUAAUCCAAUAAGGAAUUCAAAUAAAAAAAGGCACAAAAAUCCACAGUAAUCAAGCAUUCAGCUAGUGCUCUUAUUAACUCCAGCAAAGAAAUAAGUGCUAGUAACUUUUUAUGAUGGCAUUCAGUAAUGGACAUUGAAAACACUCAUGGUAGUCAUUGCUUUGGUAGCAUAUGAAGGCAUGGAAAUAUAUAGGAUGAUGAAACAUAUGAUUAUUUUUGCACAUUACCUGUAUUUGAUUUCUAUUCCCAG